CCUCGUGUAUCACGUGACACGGCGUCAUCGCUAAUGUCAGAAAGGUAAACAGUGUGAGAAAUUCUGAACCUUUACACAAGUUAUCUCGAACACGAGCGUCCAGCGCAGUGUUACUAAAUUUACAGGAUGGUAUGAUUGAUAAUUAAAGCUUGCAGCUAUGUUGCUGAAAAGAUUCAGAAAGCAUGCAGCAAGCCAAACUCAGGGGAGGGGUCAAGGUCAAGGGCAUCAGGGAGAGAGAGUGUGUGAUGAGCAAAGGCAGCAGUAAGGCACAGAAUGGCUAUGGUCCAGUGGUAGAAGCCCAACCAAACCACCCCAAGGCUGAGUAUGGGGGAGGAGGAUGAGGUUAACCACCCCAGAGCAGGCCAGCCCUACCCCACAGGAUGCCACGCCCAGCUCUGGAUCUCCCUACCCCUAGAUUCUGUCAACACACAUACUACCUCUACAUGUUCUGUCUCUUGCUGUGGAGCUACACUGUUUCAUGUUCCAGCACUGCAUAAUUUGGAAUAAACUUUAAAAAUGAAUUUGAUAUCUACAAUAUAUUUUUAUGUAAAAUACAUUCAGAUUGGUAUAUUUUGAUCAUAUUCUUACAGAAAAUACAGAAAUAUAGUGAUAUAAUGUGCUUGUAGUGCUACCGGUUUUGGAAGUACCUAUAUAUACUAAUUUCCAACAUUCAAACGUAUGUGUAUGUUAAGACUUUGUUGAUAUAUGAGUCUUAAAAAUUUAAUGAUAUUUUCUCUGUAGAUUGUGUUCCAGUAAUUUUGUAGAAUUACUGUUAAAAAUUUUCAUAUUUACGUUUCAUUAUGGAAGAUUUUUUUCCUAUGUUUUGUAACAAUGUUUGACUUUAUGUCAUGAGUUGUCAGGGAACUAUUGUCUACACAACGCAGCUAUCAGUGGCUAAUGACGUCACACUCUAAACACUGUGUUUCACAGUAAGAGUGUGUCUGAUAUCUCACCAUAGCUGCCAUGUGUAGAAUGUGUUUUCUUUCAACUUGCCAAGCAAUGAUAUAAUUUGAUGGAUAUAUUUUAUCUUUUUAAACGAUUUGUUUGAAUAAACUUGAUAAAAAU